rnacentral:rRNA from 1 species
GCUCAGCCAUCAUCCCAGACAUUUUUAUACAACACAUGUUCCGCCAGGGUACUACGAGCAUUAGCUUAAAACCCAAAGGACCUGACGGUGCCUCAGACCCCCCUAGAGGAGCCUGUUCUAGAACCGAUAACCCCCGUUAAACCUCACCACUUCUGGUCAUCCCAGCCUAUAUACCGCCGUCGCCAGCUUACCCUGUGAAGGUAAUAAAAGUAAGCAAAAUGGGCACAACCCAGAACGUCAGGUCGAGGUGUAGCGCACGAAGUGGGAAGAAAUGGGCUACAUUUUCUUAUGCAGAACACUACGGAUGCGCAACAUGAAAUAGUGCUUGAAGGAGGAUUUAGUAGUAAAAAGGAAAAAGAGUGUCCUUUUGAACCCGG